rnacentral:rRNA from 1 species
CCCUUAGAUGUUCUGGGCCGCACGCGUGCUACACUGAGUGGAUCAGCGGGUCAGGUUGCGCGAAAGCGUUUCCUAAUCUUUAAAUCCGCUCGUGAUGGGGAUUGACGGUUGCAAUUUUCUGUCAUGACCGAGGAAUACCUUGUAAGCGCGGGUCAUCAUCCCGCGCUGAAUACGUCCCUGCCCUUUGUACACACCGCCCGUCGCUCCUACCGAUUGAGUGGUCCGGUGAGGCUUUGGGAUCUGAGCGGAAAGAGCGUUUCGCUGUUUCUGCUCGGAAAACUCAGUCGAACCUUAUCAUUUAGAGGAAGGAGAAGUCGUAACA